UACGUAGGCAGCGAGCGUUGUUCGGAGUUACUGGGCGUAAAGGGUGUGUAGGCGGUUGUUUAAGUUUGGUGUGAAAUCUCCCGGCUCAACUGGGAGGGUGCGCCGAAUACUGAAUGACUUCGAGUGCGGGAGAGGAAAGUGGAAUUCCUGGUGUAGCGGUGAAAUGCGUAGAUAUCAGGAGGAACACCGGUGGUGUAGACGGCUUUCUGGACCGUAACUGACGCUGAGGCGCGAAAGCGUGGGGAGCAAACAGG
rnacentral:rRNA from 1 species